GCCCGAGUGGUGAAAUCGGUAGACACAAGGGACUUAAAAUCCCUCGCCGCAAGGCGUGCCGGUUCGAGUCCGGCCUCGGGCA
rnacentral:tRNA from 1 species